rnacentral:rRNA from 1 species
UGGGGAAUAUUGGACAAUGGGGGCAACCCUGAUCCAGCAAUGCCGCGUGUGUGAAGAAGGUCUUCGGAUUGUAAAGCACUUUCGACGGGGGCGAUGAUGACGGUACCCGUAGAAGAAGCCCCGGCUAACUUCGUGCCAGCAGCCGCGGUAAUACGAAGGGGGCUAGCGUUGCUCGGAAUGACUGGGCGUAAAGGGCGUGUAGGCGGUUUACACAGUCAGAUGUGAAAUCCCCGGGCUUAACCUGGGAGCUGCAUUUGAUACGUGUAGACUAGAGUGUGAGAGAGGGUUGUGGAAUUCCCAGUGUAGAGGUGAAAUUCGUAGAUAUUGGGAAGAACACCGGUGGCGAAGGCGGCAACCUGGCUCAUGACUGACGCUGAGGCGCGAAAGCGUGGGGAGCAAACAGGAUUAGAUACCCUGGUAGUCCACGCUGUAAACGAUGUGUGCUAGAUGUUGGGUAACUUUGUUAUUCAGUGUCGCAGUUAACGCGUUAAGCACACCGCCUGGGGAGUAC